UCAGUCGACUCCUACGGGAGGCAGCAGUGGGAAUAUUGGACAAUGGGGGGCAACCCUGAUCCAGCAAUGCCGCGUGUGUGAAGAAGGCCUGAGGGUUGUAAAGCACUUUCAGUGGGGAGGAGGAUAGCAUGGUUAAGAGCUGAGCUAUUGGACGUUACCUACAGAAGAAGCACCGGCUAACUCCGUGCCAGCAGCCGCGGUAAUACGGAGGGUGCGAGCGUUAAUCGGAAUUACUGGGCGUAAAGGGUGCGUAGGUGGUUAAAUAAGUUAGAUGUAAAACCCUAGGGCUUAACCUAGGACUGAGAUUUAAUACUGUUUAACUAGAGUAAGAGAGAGGAGUGGAAUUCUUGGAGUAGCGGUAGAAUGCGUAGAUCUCAAGAGGAACACCGAUGGCGAAGGCAGCUCCUUGGCUUACAACUGACGCUGAGACGCGAAAGCGUGGGGAGCAAACAGGAUUAGAUACCCUGGUAG
rnacentral:rRNA from 1 species